ensembl:lncRNA
GGUAGUAGUGUGUUUGACAGCAAGGCAGCUGAAUGUGAUAGGGUGGUCCUGGUAGUAGUGUGUUUGACAGCAAGGCAGCUGAAUGUGAUAGGGUGGUCCUGGUAGUAGUGUGUUUGACAGCAAGGCAGCUGAAUGUGAUAGGGCUGAAUGUGAUAGGGUGGUCCUGGUAGUAGUGUGUUUGACAGCAAGGCAGCUGAAUGUGAUAGGGCUGAAUGUGAUGGCGUGGUCCUGGUAGUAGUGUGUUUGACAGCAAGGCAGCUGAAUGUGAUAGGGUGGUCCUGGUCGUAGCGGCUCUCCUCCUUCGGGGAUAAUGCAGGUGGACAGGAUGUGAUUCUCCAGUCAGGGCUAAUAUGUUGAGUUAAUGGCUUUCUCUGGCCACCUGCCUGCCUUCUUUGUCAGAUGUGGUGAAACGUCUACAUGGAAACACAUUCAUAGAACAUGCCAGCGUUUCCUUUUCUACAUCCAAACAGCUUAUGCCUUUAUAGCCUGCUGACACCCCUUUCCAAACUUAAUUAAUGCAAUCCACAUUGUAAUUCCUUCCAUAUCACGCCUCUCUUUGAACAUUUGCUGGCACGUGUCCAGUACCAGAGAGAACCUUUCUUUACCUGUCAGAAUGCAUGAUAACAUUAUGGAUGAGGAUAUGUUUAGGGGGACAAAAAAAACAGAAAGGAUUUUGAGACAAAUAAGGCCUGCAGUUAUAGUAUUUGUGGACGUGUUGCUAGGCAACACUGCAGUCAGUUUCAGUCAGUGUUCAAUGCGGCCUUUAGCCUCCGGUGGGCUACUGACUGCCACGGCAGCUGCUGGAAUAGGGUUCAUUAAGUUUUAUAGAAUCUCCAUUAAGUGCUCAGAUUAGGGUUCAAAGGUUAAUUCAAAUUCAUCCCAGCCUUAAAAACGCUACCCUGUGCUUUGUAUCAGAGCUCAACUCACACCCCGUGGCAGUGAAAGCCAACGCAUUGCACAUGCAGUACCUUUCUUUCCAACGAAUAGCAAUUCAUCAAAUCUGCUUUUAUUCCCAUUAAAAUGGAUACAUUUUUUUUUGUGAGUGACAAGCUUGGGCAUUAUUUAUUCCUUCCCAUGUCAAUCACAAUAUUUAGUGUAGGCCAAUUUAUUAGUGAUUUUUGCCUCAGCAGCCACCUCUACUGAAAACACAUUAAUGUUCAAAAAACGGGAUAAAAAGCUUCAUCACUGCCAGACUAUUUUGCAUCUGUGCAUGCUAUUUGCUGUUUGUCAUCCACCUCAUUAUCUGUCAUCGAGAUGUAUCAUAACUGCUCUGCAGUCUUCCAACCAACAGGACAGCUCUGAACCCUCGCUGAAUUUCUCUCUCUGACAAGAGGCCUAAGCUCCUGAGUUAUGUGACUCCUCCUAAUCCAUGUACGAUUACUUCAGAUCAGUGAUGAGCUUCACUGAGGCACAUCGUCUUUUUCACUGUGCGUAGGAUUCUUCCACCUAAUCACCUCAGUAGGCGCUGUGGGCUUCAAUCUCUGAUUGGCAAGCAUCUGGGAGCCAGGGAGCAACCUCAUGCCUAGAAACCAGAACAUUGACUGGUUAACCUGACUGAACAUGCAAAGCCCCAUUACAUUUGUCUUUAGCCUUUAUCGUACACAUUCCCACUGAUGAUAUGCUUGCACAUAUUCCUUUACAUUAUUGAGAUAGACACAUGCCUCCAUUAGUCUUAUACAUCUGUGAGUAACUGGCAGGCAAAAUACAAACAAACAAAACAAAACAAACAAAUACAGUGUAUACAGUGAAAUAUAAGACUGCAUACAAGACACCACUGUCCCAUACAUUGCUUCAGUUGAAGUAGCAUUCUUCAUGAACCUCCUGCCCACUGUGCACUAUUCUAUACCUCUCCUUUGUCAUUGACUCAUUACUGGUACCUGAUGUACAACUGGUGUUGAUUGUUUUUUACUACAUACAUCUUUUCAGGCUGAUUAGGCACGCAAUGAUCCAUUUGAACACUCUCCAACAUCUGAUCCUCCGA